CAGCCGUAAACAAUGUGCGUUAGGUGUGUCGGUAACCACGUGUUACUGAUGCGCCGAAGAGAAAUCGUGAAACGCACCACCUGGGAAGUACGGUCGCAAGGCUGAAACUUAAAGGAAUUGGCGGGGGAGCACCACAACAGGUGGAGCCUGCGGUUUAAUUGGAUUCAACGCCGGACAUCUCACCGGAUAAGACAGCUGAAUGAUUGUCAAUCUGAAGGUUUUACAUGACUAGCUGAGAGGAGGUGCAUGGCGUCAGUGACU
rnacentral:rRNA from 1 species